rnacentral:precursor_RNA from 10 species
UUAUAGUUAAAUCUCUGAUUUUCGGCACCACGAAACUUGCGUGGAACAGGCUGUUUGAAUCCAGCCUUUUCGUGUAAAUUUCCAUGGGCCUAAUUUACUACCAUCUCAAAUAGUA